AAGACCAAGGUUUCCUGCGCAACGCUAAUCGGCGCAGGGUGAGUCGGCCCCUAAGGCGAGGCAGAAAUGCGUAGCUGAUGGGAAACAGGUUAAUAUUCCUGUACUUCUUAUAACUGCGAUGGAGAGACGGAGAAGGCUAUGCCUACCGGGCGUUGGUUGUCCCGGGGAAAGGCUGUAGGCUGAGGUGUUAGGCAAAUCCGGCACCUUAAGGCUGAGAGUCGAGACCACUGGUCCUUUGUGACCGGGAAGUGGUUGAUGCCAUGCUUCCAGGAAAAUCUUCUAAGCUUCAGGUUAUAAGGAACCGUACCCCAAACCGACACAGGUGGUUGGGAUGAGUAUUCUAAGGCGCUUGAGAGAACUCGGGUGAAGGAACUAGGCAAAGUGGUACCGUAACUUCGGGAGAAGGUACGCCGCUGACGGUGAUGAGACUUGCUCUCUGAGCUAUCGGCGGUCGCAGUGAAAAGGCCCCUGCAACUGUUUAUUAAAAACACAGCACUCUGCAAACGCGUAAGCGGACGUAUAGGGUGUGACGCCUGCCCGGUGCCGGAAGGUUAAUUGAUGGGGUUAGCUUCGGCGAAGCUCUUGAUCGAAGCCCCGGUAAACGGCGGCCGUAACUAUAACGGUCCUAAGGUAGCGAAAUUCCUUGUCGGGUAAGUUCCGACCUGCACGAAUGGCGUAAUGAUGGGGGCGCUGUCUCCACCCGAGACUCAGUGAAAUCGAAAUCGCAGUGAAGAUGCUGUGUACCCGCGGCUAGACGGAAAGACCCCGUGAACCUUUACUAUAGCUUCACAGUGGACUUUGAACCUGUUUGUGUAGGAUAGCUGGGAGACUUUGAAGCAGUGACGCUAGUCAUUGUGGAGUCGUCCUUGAAAUACCAGCCUGGCAUGUUUGAGGUUCUAACCUGGGUCCCUUAUCGGGAUCGGGGACAUUGUGUGGUGGGUAGUUUGACUGGGGCGGUCUCCUCCCAAAGAGUAACGGAGGAGCACAAAGGUACCCUCAGCACGGUCGGACAUCGUGCAACGAGCGUAAAGGUAGAAGGGUGCUUGACUGCGAGACUUACAAGUCGAGCAGGUGCGAAAGCAGGUCUUAGUGAUCCGGUGGUUCUGUAUGGAAGGGCCAUCGCUCAACGGAUAAAAGGUACU
rnacentral:rRNA from 1 species